AGUGAACGCUGGCGGUAGGCCUAACACAUGCAAGUCGAACGGCAGCACAGUAAGAGCUUGCUCUUACGGGUGGCGAGUGGCGGACGGGUGAGGAAUACAUCGGAAUCUACUUUUUCGUGGGGGAUAACGUAGGGAAACUUACGCUAAUACCGCAUACGACCUACGGGUGAAAGCCGGGGAUCUUCGGACCUUGCGCGAUUGAAUGAGCCGAUGUCGGAUUAGCUAGUUGGCGGGGUAAAGGCCCACCAAGGCGACGAUCCGUAGCUGGUCUGAGAGGAUGAUCAGCCACACUGGAACUGAGACACGGUCCAGACUCCUACGGGAGGCAGCAGUGGGGAAUAUUGGACAAUGGGGGCAAGCCUGAUCCAGCCAUACCGCGUGGGUGAAGAAGGCCUUCGGGUUGUAAAGCCCUUUUGUUGGGAAAGAAAAGCAGCAGGUUAAUACCCCGCUGUUCUGACGGUACCCAAAGAAUAAGCACCGGCUAACUUCGUG
rnacentral:rRNA from 1 species